UACGAAGGGGGCUAGCGUUGCUCGGAAUCACUGGGCGUAAAGCGCACGUAGGCGGCUUUUUAAGUCAGGGGUGAAAUCCUGGAGCUCAACUCCAGAACUGCCUUUGAUACUGAGAAGCUUGAGUCCGGGAGAAGUGAGUGGAACUGCGAGUGUAGAGGUGAAAUUCGUAGAUAUUCGCAAGAACACCAGUGGCGAAGGCGGCUCACUGGACCGGUUCUGACGCUGAGGCGCGAAAGCGUGGGGAGCAAACGGG
rnacentral:rRNA from 1 species